rnacentral:misc_RNA from 1 species
CUAAAAGAUCUCUCAAUCGCAGAAUUUGGUAGAAUUGAGGUUGUUGGUCCUGAAUUCUAUGGAAAUUGCACAUCUAUGAAGAAUCCAUUUAGAUCCCUAAAAAUCCUGAAGUUUGAGAGGAUGCCAAAAUGGCAUAAAUGGAUUUCUUAUAUAGAAGAAGAUGAAAGUAGAGCUUUCCCUGUCCUCCAAGAGCUUUACAUAAGAGAAUGUCC